UACGGGGGUGCAAGCGUUAAUCGGAAUUACUGGGCGUAAAGCGCGCGUAGGUGGCUUGAUAAGCCGGUUGUGAAAGCCCCGGGCUCAACCUGGGAACGGCAUCCGGAAAUGUCAAGCUAGAGUGCAGGAGAAGAAGGUAGAAUUCCCGGUGUAGCGGUGAAAUGCGUAGAGAUCGGGAGGAAUACCAGUGACGAAGGCGGCCUUCUGGACUGACACUGACACUGAGGUGCGAAAGCGUGGGUAGCAAACAGG
rnacentral:rRNA from 1 species